AGAGUUUGAUCCUGGCUCAGAACGAACGCUGGCGGCGUGCUUAACACAUGCAAGUCGAGUGCGCGGUUGUAGCAAUACAACUGGCGCACGGCGCACGGGUGCGUAACACGUGGGCAAUCUGCCCUUCGAUGGGGAAUAACUCCGGGAAACCGAAGCUAAUUCCGCAUAACAUUCCUUGGACCUCGGUUCGAGGACUCAAAGCCGUAAGGCGUCGAAGGAGGAGCCCGCGCACGAUUAGCUAGUUGGUAGGGUAACGGCCUACCAAGGCUUUGAUCGUUAGCUGGUCUGAGAGGAUGGCCAGCCACACUGGAACUGAGACACGGUCCAGACUCCUACGGGAGGCAGCAGUGGGGAAUCUUGCACAAUGGGCGAAAGCCUGAUGCAGCGACGCCGCGUGGGGGAUGAAGCAUUUCGGUGUGUAAACCCCUUUCGACCCGGACGAAUGCCUCGCAAGAGGAGUGACGGUACGGGUAUAAGAAGCCCCGGCUAACUACGUGCCAGCAGCCGCGGUAAGACGUAGGGGGCCAGCGUUGUUCGGAAUUACUGAGUGUAAAGGGUUCGUAGGCGGUGUGGCAAGUUGGGAGUGAAAUCUCUGGGCUCAACCCAGAGGCUGCUUCCAAAACUGCUGUGCUUGAGUGUGGGAGAGGCGCGUGGAAUUGCAGGUGUAGCGGUGAAAUGCGUAGAUAUCUGCAGGAACACCCGUGGCGAAAGCGGCGCGCUGGACCACAACUGACGCUGAGGAACGAAAGCUAGGGGAGCAAACAGGAUUAGAUACCCCCGUAGUCC
rnacentral:rRNA from 1 species